rnacentral:rRNA from 2 species
AUUGAACGCUGGUGGCAUGCUUAACACAUGCAAGUCGGACGGCAGCAUGGUAGUGCUUGCACUACUGAUGGCGAGUGGCGGACGGGUGAGUAACGCGUAGGAAUCUGCCGUAUAGAGGGGGACAACAGUUGGAAACGACUGCUAAUACCGCAUAUUAUCUUAGGAUGAAGGGUGGCUUUUAGCUGCCGCUAUACGAUGAGCCUGCGUUGGAUUAGCUAGUUGGUUGGGUAAAGGCUGACCAAGGCGACGAUCCAUAGCUGUUCUGAGAGGAAGAUCAGCCACACUGGGACUGAGACACGGCCCAGACUCCUACGGGAGGCAGCAGUGGGGAAUAUUGGACAAUGGGGGCAACCCUGAUCCAGCAAUGCCACGUGUGUGAAGAAGGCCUUAGGGUUGUAAAGCACUUUAGUCACUGAGGAAAUUCAUUUGGUUAAGAGCUGGGUGAAUUGACGUUAGGUGAAGAAUAAGCACCGGCUAACUCCGUGCCAGCAGCCGCGGUAAUACGGAGGGUGCGAGCGUUAAUCGGAAUUACUGGGCGUAAAGGGUUCGUAGGUGGUUGAGUAAGUCGGAUGUGAAAUACCUGGGCUUAACCUGGGAGGUGCAUACGAUACUGUUUAACUAGAGUUUACUAGAGGAUUGGGGAAUUUCCGGUGUAGCGGUGAAAUGCGUAGAGAUCGGGAAAGAACAUCGAUGGCGAAGGCAACAAUCUGGGGUUAAACUGACACUGAGGGACGAAAGCGUGGGUAGCAAACAGGAUUAGAUACCCUGGUAGUCCACGCUGUAAACGAUGAGUACUAGCUGUUGGAGUCGGUGUAAAGGCUUUAGUGGCGCAGCUAACGCGAUAAGUACUCCGCCUGGGGACUACGGCCGCAAGGUUAAAACUCAAAGGAAUUGACGGGGACCCGCACAAGCGGUGGAGCAUGUGGUUUAAUUCGAUGCAACGCGAAGAACCUUACCUACCCUUGACAUCCUAAGAACGAACCAGAGAUGGUUUGGUGCCUUCGGGAACUUAGAGACAGGUGCUGCAUGGCUGUCGUCAGCUCGUGUUGUGAAAUGUUGGGUUAAGUCCCGCAACGGGCGCAACCCUUAUUUUUAGUUGCCAGCAUGUAAAGAUGGGCACUCUAGAGAGACUGCCGCUGAUAAGGCGGAGGAAGGUGGGGACGACGUCAAGUCAUCAUGGCCCUUACGGGUAGGGCUACACACGUGCUACAAUGGGUGUUACAGAGGGCAGCGAAGCCGCGAGGUGGAGCGAAACUUUGAAAGGCACUCUUAGUCCGGAUUGUACUCUGCAACUCGAGUGCAUGAAGUCGGAAUCGCUAGUAAUCGCGAAUCAGCAUGUCGCGGUGAAUACGUUCCCGGGUCUUGUACACACCGCCCGUCACACCAUGGGAGUGGGUUGCUCCAGAAGUAGAUAGCUUAACCGCAAGGGGGGCGUUUACCACGGAGUGAUUCAUGACUGGGGUG